rnacentral:rRNA from 1 species
UGCCCAAGAGAUCGGGAUAACACCUGGAAACAGAUGCUAAUACCGGAUAACAACAGAUGAUGCCUAUCAACUGUUUAAAAGAUGGUUCUGCUAUCACUCUUGGAUGGACCUGCGGUGCAUUAGCUAGUUGGUAAGGCAACGGCUUACCAAGGCAAUGAUGCAUAGCCGAGUUGAGAGACUGAUCGGCCACAUUGGGACUGAGACACGGCCCAAACUCCUACGGGAGGCAGCAGAC